rnacentral:rRNA from 1 species
GGGGAAUAUUGGACAAUGGGCGCAAGCCUGAUCCAGCCAUGCCGCGUGAGUGAUGAAGGCCCUAGGGUUGUAAAGCUCUUUCACCGAUGAAGAUAAUGACGGUAGUCGGAGAAGAAGCCCCGGCUAACUUCGUGCCAGCAGCCGCGGUAAUACGAAGGGGGCUAGCGUUGUUCGGAAUUACUGGGCGUAAAGCGCACGUAGGCGGAUAUUUAAGUCAGGGGUGAAAUCCCAGAGCUCAACUCUGGAACUGCCUUUGAUACUGGGUAUCUUGAGUAUGGAAGAGGUAAGUGGAAUUCCGAGUGUAGAGGUGAAAUUCGUAGAUAUUCGGAGGAACACCAGUGGCGAAGGCGGCUUACUGGUCCAUUACUGACGCUGAGGUGCGAAAGCGUGGGGAGCAAAC